GAGCGGACUGCCGCCGAACUGGCCACGCAUGAUUGCUCGUGCUUUCAGAUGCAGAAUGUGAUGCCGGCGUGGGGGCCUUUGCCCCUGCGACCGCCCUGUUCGUGCCACUCGUGCUCGAUAAGAACGACUUCCUCGCCCGUCUCGGCCCCUCGUCUCAUCAGCGUCGGGGGUCGUGCGGGUCGUGGUGUCACCAAGGAAUGCUACCUGGUUGAUCCUGCCAGUAGUCAUAUGCUUGUCUCAAAGAUUAAGCCAUGCAUGUGUAAGUAUGAACUAAUUCAGACUGUGAAACUGCGAAUGGCUCAUUAAAUCAGUUAUAGUUUGUUUGAUGGUAUUUGCUACUCGGAUAACCAUAGUAAUUCUAGAGCUAAUACGUGCAACAAACCCCGACUUCUAGAAGGGACGCAUUUAUUAGAUAAAAGGUCGACGCGGGCUCUGCCCGUUGCUCUGAUGAUUCAUGAUAACUCGACGGAUCGCACGGCCUUCGUGUCAGGAUUAGGGUUCGAUUCCGGAGAGGGAGCCUGAGAAACGGCUACCACAUCCAAGGAAGGCAGCAGGCGCGCAAAUUACCC